CCUACGGGAGGCAGCAGUGAGGAAUAUUGGUCAAUGGUCGGGAGACUGAACCAGCCAAGCCGCGUGAGGGAUGAAGGUACAGAGUAUCGUAAACCUCUUUUGUCAGGGAACAAAGGCGGGGACGCGUCCCCGGAUGAGUGUACCUGAAGAAAAAGCAUCGGCUAACUCCGUGCCAGUAGCCGCGGUAAUACGGAGGAUGCGAGCGUUAUCCGGAUUUAUUGGGUUUAAGGGGUGCGCAGGCGGUCUGUUAAGUCAGCGGUCAAAGCCCGGGGCUCAACCCCGGCCCGCCGUUGAAACUGGCAGUCUCGAGUUGGAGAGAAGUAUGCGGAAUGCGCGGUGUAGCGGGGAAAUGCAUAGAUAUCGCGCAGAACUCCGAUUGCGAAGGCAGCAUGCCGGCUCCACACUGACGCUGAGGCACGAAAGCGUGGGUAUCGAACAGGAUUAGAUACCCUUGUAGUC
rnacentral:rRNA from 1 species